rnacentral:rRNA from 1 species
ACGAACGCUGGCGGCGUGCAUAACACAUGCAAGUCGAGCGGGCGUAGCAAUACGUCAGCGGCAGACGGGUGAGUAACGCGUGGGAACAUACCUUUUGGUUCGGAACAACACAGGGAAACUUGUGCUAAUACCGGAUAAGCCCUUACGGGGAAAGAUUUAUCGCCGAAAGAUUGGCCCGCGUCUGAUUAGCUAGUUGGUGAGGUAAUGGCUCACCAAGGCGACGAUCAGUAGCGGUCUGAGAGGAUGAUCAGCCACAUUGGGACUGAGACACGGCCCAGACUCCUACGGGAGGCAGCAGUGGGGAAUAUUGCGCAAUGGGCGGAAGCCUGACGCAGCGACGCCGCGU